rnacentral:sRNA from 1 species
ACUAUACCCUGCUAAAUUUUUGUAUUUUUUUUUAGAGACAGGGUUUCACCCUGUUAGCCAGGCUGGUUUUGAACUCGUGACCUCAAGUGAUCCGCCCACCUCGGCCUCCGAAAGUGCUAGAAUUACAGGCGUGAGCCACUGCACCUGGCCGAUAUUCCUGUUCUUAAUGGAGAUUUGAUAAUUGUACUGUGGGUUAUUAGCACAUCAAAACAGUGUUGUAGGGAAUUAGAACACAAAGCAUUAGUAUAUUCAGUCUUGUUCUUAAAGUUAAUUGUAGGAUGUUGAAUUUUUUUUAUAAGGUACAAUUUUGCUGAACUAAAACUCUAAUAAUGACACCUAAACUGAAUAUUUGAAAAUGUCUUGGUAGGCUUAGGACUUAUUUUUAAUGUAAGGAUAGCAACGUGCCUUAGUUUUGAGUAGGUAUUCAUUACCCCCCUAAAAUAGUGGAUUUUACUUUCCAGUUUCUUGAGUUGUGUCUUGAAAUUAUUGUUUGUGAAAAUGUUUCUUUUGAUUUUGGAGGGAAAAAAAUCAAAAAGUUUUAGUGCUUCUGUCUACUUGUAGAUAUAAAACAGAUGGAAAAGAAAAGGAGGCCAUCCUUGAAGAAGAAGAUGACCUCUGGGUUAGAAUUCGACAUCGACAUAUCGCAGUUGUGUUAGAGGAAAUUCCCAAGCUUAUGAAAGAAAUUUCAUCAACAAAGAAAGCAACAGAAGGAAAGACAUCACUUAGUGCUCUUACCCAGCUGAUGAAAAAGAUGCCCCAUUUCCG